AGUUCGAUCAUGGCUCAGGAUGAACGCUGGCGGCGUGCCUAACACAUGCAAGUCGAACGGGGACAGGAUGAAACCUAGUGAUUCCUGUCUUAGUGGCGGACGGGUGAGUAACGCGUGGGUAACCUGCCUUGUACCGGGGGAUAACACCUGGAAACAGGUGCUAAUACCGCAUAAGCGCACAGUCUCGCAUGGGACGGUGUGAAAGGGAGAAGCCUUCGGCAUCUCCGGUACAAGAUGGACCCGCGUCUGAUUAGCCAGUUGGGGGGGUAACGGCCCACCAAAGCGACGAUCAGUAGCCGGCCUGAGAGGGUGAACGGCCACAUUGGGACUGAGACACGGCCCAAACUCCUACGGGAGGCAGCAGUGGGGAAUAUUGCACAAUGGGGGGAACCCUGAUGCAGCAACGCCGCGUGAGUGAAGAAGUGAUUCGUUAUGUAAAGCUCUAUCAGCAGGGAAGAAAAUGACGGUACCUGAGUAAGCAGCCCCGGCUAACUACGUGCCAGCAGCCGCGGUAAUACGUAGGGGGCAAGCGUUAUCCGGAUUUACUGGGUGUAAAGGGAGCGUAGACGGCCACGCAAGUCUGAAGUGAAAUGCCAGUGCUCAACACUGGAACUGCUUUGGAAACUGCUUGGCUGGAGUGCAGGAGAGGUAAGUGGAAUUCCUAGUGUAGCGGUGAAAUGCGUAGAUAUCAGGAGGAACACCAGUGGCGAAGGCGGCUUACUGGUCUGUAACUGACGUUGAGGCUCGAAGGCGUGGGGAGCAAACAGGAUUAGAUACCCUGGUAGUCCACGCGGUAAACGAUGAUUGCUAGGUGUCGGGGGGUUAUAACCCUUCGGUGCCGCCGCAAACGCAAUAAGUAAUCCACCUGGGGAGUACGUUCGCAAGAAUGAAACUCAAAGGAAUUGACGGGGACCCGCACAAGCGGUGGAGCAUGUGGUUUAAUUCGAGGCAACGCGAAGAACCUUACCUGAUCUUGACAUCCCCCUGACCGGCCCGUAAUGGGGCUUUCCCUUCGGGGCAGGGGAGACAGGUGGUGCAUGGUUGUCGUCAGCUCGUGUCGUGAGAUGUUGGGUUAAGUCCCGCAACGAGCGCAACCCUUAUCCUUAGUAGCCAGCAGUAAGAUGGGGACUCUAGGGAGACUGCCGGGGAUAACCCGGAGGAAGGUGGGGAUGACGUCAAAUCAUCAUGCCCCUUAUGACCAGGGCUACACACGUGCUACAAUGGCGUAAACAAAGGGAGGCGAGACCGCGAGGUAGAGCAAAUCCCAAAAAUAACGUCUCAGUUCGGAUUGUAGUCUGCAACUCGACUACAUGAGGCUGGAAUCGCCAGUAAUCGCAGAUCAGAAUGCUGCGGUGAAUACGUUCCCGGGUCUUGUACACACCGCCCGUCACACCAUGGGAGUUGGAAAUGCCCGAAGUCAGUGACCCAACCGAAAGGGGGGAGCUGCCGAAGGCAGGUCUGAUAACUGGGGUGAAGUCGUAACAAGGUAACC
rnacentral:rRNA from 1 species